AGAGUUUGAUCAUGGCUCAGGACGAACGCUGGCGGCGUGCCUAAUACAUGCAAGUCGAGCGAGCGGAACCAACAGAUUUACUUCGGUAAUGACGUUGGGAAAGCGAGCGGCGGAUGGGUGAGUAACACGUGGGGAACCUGCCCCUAAGUCUGGGAUACCAUUUGGAAACGGGUGCUAAUACCGGAUAAUAAAGCAGAUCGCAUGAUCAGCUUUUGAAAGGCGGCGUAAGCUGUCGCUAAGGGAUGGCCCCGCGGUGCAUUAGCUAGUUGGUAAGGUAACGGCUUACCAAGGCGACGAUGCAUAGCCGAGUUGAGAGACUGAUCGGCCACAUUGGGACUGAGACACGGCCCAAACUCCUACGGGAGGCAGCAGUAGGGAAUCUUCCACAAUGGACGCAAGUCUGAUGGAGCAACGCCGCGUGAGUGAAGAAGGUUUUCGGAUCGUAAAGCUCUGUUGUUGGUGAAGAAGGAUAGAGGUAGUAACUGGCCUUUAUUUGACGGUAAUCGACCAGAAAGUCACGGCUAACUACGUGCCAGCAGCCGCGGUAAUACGUAGGUGGCAAGCGUUGUCCGGAUUUAUUGGGCGUAAAGCGAGCGCAGGCGGAAAAAUAAGUCUAAUGUGAAAGCCCUCGGCUUAACCGAGGAACUGCAUCGGAAACUGUUUUUCUUGAGUGCAGAAGAGGAGAGUGGAACUCCAUGUGUAGCGGUGGAAUGCGUAGAUAUAUGGAAGAACACCAGUGGCGAAGGCGGCUCUCUGGUCUGCAACUGACGCUGAGGCUCGAAAGCAUGGGUAGCGAACAGGAUUAGAUACCCUGGUAGUCCAUGCCGUAAACGAUGAGUGCUAAGUGUUGGGAGGUUUCCGCCUCUCAGUGCUGCAGCUAACGCAUUAAGCACUCCGCCUGGGGAGUACGACCGCAAGGUUGAAACUCAAAUGAAUUGACGG
rnacentral:rRNA from 1 species